rnacentral:tRNA from 2 species
AGCCCCGUAGUGUAGAGGUCAAUCAUUCCGGCCUUUGGAGCCGGAGACGGCGGUUCGAAUCCGCCCGGGGCUACCA